rnacentral:rRNA from 1 species
CGCGCAGGCGGUCCGCUACGUUCUGGGUGACAGUGCGCGGCUUCACUGCGCAAGGUCCUGGAAAACGGGCAGACUUGAGGGCUUCAGAGGGACACGGAAUUCCGGGUGGAGUGGUGAAAUGCGUAGAGAUCCGGAGGAACACCAAAGGCGAAGGCAGUGUCCUGGGAAGCAUCUGACGCUCAGGUGCGAAAGCCAGGGGAGCGAACG